CGGUAUUGUGGACUUUGAAGUAGAAGCCAUCUGCGUCAUGUCGAGUCCAGAAGUCUUCAAAGUCUUAUUCAGUUUCUUCAUAUAUGAUUUCAUAGCAUUGAACUUCUUCUUGUAUUUGGAGACGUCUUUUUGACUCUCGUUACACUUGUUCUGAAAAUGAAAACAAAAAUGAGUUCGGUAAUCAACAAAAUUAUUGAAAUAUAAUUUAAAUACCUCCAAUGCUUUGAAUUUUUCCGACCAAACUGCAUCUGGUGUUGCAUCAACAGUCGUGCUUUCUGAGAUCGGCUCUUUUCCUUUCCAAUUUGGAGAAGCCCAUCUUUCGUUUGUUGUGCUCACCAUACUGGCAGCUUCUCCAAUUCCUA
rnacentral:lncRNA from 1 species